CUUUUUAGAUCACCGAAGUCAAGCAUCAUUGGGCGCGAUCAGUACUUGGGUGGGUGACCACCUGGGAACACCGCGUGCCGUU